AUGCAAAGAACGUUUCUGCUACUGCACUCUGGGCCAGCGGUAAUACUAUAUUGCCAACUACGGGCGGCGAAUGCGCUCCAUUGUCCAGGGGAGGACACAACAACGGUGCUCAGUCUCCUCUCGCUCCCUCUUCUGGCUUGUCCAACAGCGGCGGCCACGGCACCUUCAGCAACAAUCACAACCGCGGCCACGACACCUUCAGCAACAAUCGCAGCGGCGGCCCAGGACGUGGCCGCUCCAAGCCCUGGAUGUACAAUCGCUGGACUGGCCUACAACGCAUGCACAGCUUCAUCAACACCCUGCUCCAGUGCCGUGGCAACCACAACCAUGGCGCGCUCCUGGCGUCCUGGGUCCACGACCUGCAGCUGCUUCCCCGCAGGCGUACGCGACAUAUGGACCACCUCGGACAACUCCCACCUACAGCGGGCAUCAGCAACACCUCGACCCAACACUUCUGAACGCACUCAACAACAUGCAUCUUCCUGGAAAUCAGGAGUGGUACAUGGACAUGGGAGCUUCCUCCCACAUGUCAUCGAAUCAUGA
rnacentral:rRNA from 1 species